GACGAACGCUGGCGGCGUGCUUAACACAUGCAAGUCGAACGGAAAGGCCCUGCUUUUGUGGGGUGCUCGAGUGGCGAACGGGUGAGUAACACGUGAGUAACCUGCCCUUGACUUUGGGAUAACUUCAGGAAAAUGGGGCUAAUACCGGAUAGGAGCUCCUGCUGCAUGGUGGGGGUUGGAAAGUUUCGGCGGUGGGGGAUGGACUCGCGGCUUAUCAGCUUGUUGGUGGGGUAGUGGAUUACCAAGGCUUUGACGGGUAGCCGGCCUGAGAGGGUGACCGGCCACAUUGGGACUAAGAUACGGACCAGACUCCUACGGGAGGCAGCAGUGGGGAAUAUUGCACAAUGGGGGGAAGCCUGAUGCAGCAACGCCGCGUGCGGGAUGACGGCCUUCGGGUUGUAAACCGCUUUCGCCUGUGACGAAGCGUGAGUGACGGUAAUGGGUAAAGAAGCACCGGCUAACUACGUG
rnacentral:rRNA from 1 species